rnacentral:rRNA from 1 species
AUUGAACGCUGGCGGCAUGCCUUACACAUGCAAGUCGAACGGUAACGGGCCUUCGGGUGCCGACGAGUGGCGAACGGGUGAGUAAUACAUCGGAACGUGCCCGAUCGUGGGGGAUAACGAGGCGAAAGCUUUGCUAAUACCGCAUACGAUCUACGGAUGAAAGCAGGGGACCGCAAGGCCUUGCGCGGACGGAGCGGCCGAUAGCAGAUUAGGUAGUUGGUGGGAUAAAAGCUUACCAAGCCGACGAUCUGUAGCUGGUCUGAGAGGAUGAUCAGCCACACUGGGACUGAGACACGGCCCAGACUCCUACGGGAGGCAGCAGUGGGGAAUUUUGGACAAUGGGCGCAAGCCUGAUCCAGCCAUGCCGCGUGCAGGAUGAAGGCCUUCGGGUUGUAAACUGCUUUUGUACGGAAAGAAAAGCCUUCUUUUAAUACAGGAGGGUCAUGACGGUACCGGAAGAAUAAGCACCGGCUAACUACGUG